UCAUUGACUGCUUUGCAUGACCGGCUCCCUGCGCCUCGGCGUGGCCAACGGUCAUGGGGCUGUCUCUCCACCUUACCCUUUGUUCAGCUGGUUAGCUGGCCGGGGUUGACUUGUGAUGGUUGCCUGUGCGUUUCUACCCUUGCGGAUGCGGGUAUAAGAUUUGUCACGUCCCGAAUUAUUAUAGCCUGCCAAGCCGAUGCUUAGCCGUCGGCGGGCCGGCCGAUUGCUGGCGAACUCCUCGUGCUGUCUUGGCGAUGCGCCUUGAAAAAUGCAUUGAGUUGUUUGCUAGGUCUCGUGGAUGCCGUGCCUGUUGUAAUCAUUGUGGGCUUUGUGUCCGCAGUUGUGAGGUUGUCCCUGCAUGCGUAAUUGCUUGGUCUCUUCAUUGUGAUGCUUUUUUGGAUCUUGCAUGCAAGUCCGAGUGUUGUGGUCGAGCGAUUGAUUAACUUCUCGCUUGGGCGCUCCACGGUGACGUGCUCUUGUUUCGUGAUUGGCAUCGGAAUGUUGUGAUCGGGUGAUGAAAUUGUGCUUGUGGUGUUGCCCCUCUGACCGAACGAAAUGACAGCGGUUGCUGGUUUGCGUCAUUGCAAUUGCCUUUCCUCCGAGAGGGUGGGCUCUUGAGAUGACGUCCCGGCUUUCGCUUAAAGACGUGC
rnacentral:misc_RNA from 1 species